rnacentral:rRNA from 1 species
CUACGGGACGCACCAGUCGAGGAUAUUUAGCAAUGCCCGAAAGGGUGACUAUGCGACGCCGCGUGUGCGAUGAAGGUCUUCGGAUCGUAAAGCACUGUCAGCCGGGAGGAAUCUCUGGAGGCUUAAUAAGCUUGCAGGGUGACAGUACCGGCAGAGGAAGCCACGGCUAACUCCGUGCCAGCAGCCGCGGUAAUACGGAGGUGGCAGGCGUUACUCGGAUUGAUUGGGUGUAAAGGGUGUGUAGGUGGCUUGAUAAGUCGAAUGUGAAAUCCCCUGGCUCAACCAGGGAACUGCAUUCGAAACUAUCCUGCUUGAGCGACUGAGAGGCAGAUGGAAUUCCCGGUGUAACAGUGAAAUGUGUAGAUAUCGGGAGGAACACCAGUGGCGAAGGCGAUCUGCUGGCAGUCCGCUGACACUGAAACACGAGAGCAUGGGGAGCAAACAGGAUUAGAUACCCCCGUAGUC